ensembl:lncRNA
CAGCCGGCCGCGAGGCCCCAUUGGCUGCGGCAACGUUCUAAAUUCCACGAGGGCACGCCCACCUCCGCGCGCACGGUACGCGCUGUUGUAGUUUCCACUUCACCGAAAAAUCUGCCUGGCGACUGAGCAUGCCCAGUUCAACUAGUAACCCCCGCAAGCCACGGGAUCCUGGAGUUUCAUUGUUUUGUUGCUCCGUAUUUGGAUAGUUAUCAGUAGGACGUGUGGGCCUUCAUAAGAAGGAAAAAGAGUAAGGAUGGACACAUUAACUUUAUAAGGAGGGGUCUUGGUGAAAAAUCUUGAAGCUACUGCACAGCCCUAAUAAAUAUUCAUUGGAAGGACUGAUGCUGAAGCUGAAGCUCCAGUACUUUGGCCACCUGAUGUGAAGAGCCAACUCAUUGGAAAAGACCCUGAUGCUGGGAAGGAUUGAAGUGAGAAGGAGAAGGGGAUGACAGAGGAUGAGAUGGCUGGAUGGCACCACUGACUCGAUGGACAUGAGUUUGAGCAAGCUCUGGGAGACGGUAAAGGACAGGGAAGCCUGGCGUGCUGCAGGCCAUGGGGUCGCAAAGAGCUGGGCACAGCUGAGUGAUGAACAAUAAUAGCCCUAAUGAAUCUUGUGGUUUUGGGGGCUCAGGCAGUUUCUUCCUCUGGAGGAAAGAUGCUUCAUCUUCAAGUCUUGGAAAGAAAAUUUGAAAGGGAGAGGUCACCUCCUUUUUCUGUCCCUCCUUCCCUCUUUCAGGCAGGCACAGACAGGUUUUGCUUGAAGUAAUGGCAGCUGUGGAGAAAUCAGAAGUAGAAUCAUAUUUUGUUGCCCCUGAUAGAUCUGUAAUUCCUGGAUAAGUUACUGUUCUUCAGUGAAUAGGCCAAAGAACUCCAGAAGUAAAUGAACAAGAGGUGGCAAAAGAGUACUCCUUUGUUGGUGGUGGUGGUAUUGUGAUCAGGCAAGUCUCUAAUUGGACUGAGUGCUUUUUUUUGAAGAGACCAUAGUUUUUACAAAGUAACUAGAACGGUCCAUGGCUUCCCAGGUGCGCAGUGGUAAAGAACCCACCUGCCAAUGCAGGAGGUGCAAGAGACUCAAGCUUGAUCCCUGGGUCAGGAGGACCCCCUGGAGGAGGAAAGGGCAACCCUCUCCAGUAUUCUUGCCUGGAAAAUUCCAUGGACAGAGGAGCCUGGGUCACAAAGAGUUGGAGUUCUUUGUGACGUUUGUGGGGUUCCGUCACUCUAACCCCAGUUUACUGAAUCAGAAUCUUACAUGGCUAGAUUUGGGAACGUAUGUUUCAGAUAAGCUUCUCGUGUGUUUUUAAUACUAGAAUUUGAGAAUUCUAGUCUGGGCCUGAAUGCUGGUACUUAGACUAUAUAUCUGUGAAAGCCUCUAAAGUUAACUUCCAAAGUAGGACCUUCAUUCUGUGGGUGAAAUUUCACCCCCCAGACCUCAUCUUGUGCUCGGGCUUCAUCCCUGCUCAGUUCCAGUUUUGCCAGGCACUACCUACCACCUUCUCUAGUUGCAAGGAGAGUAAAAAUGUCCCACCUUGAGAUCUUAGAAAUGCGCCUCAUCCCAGCUUCCCAGGCAGCUCCUCAGCCUCUGGCAAGGUUAAUUUCCGUGGCCUUGCAUCCUCAAAGGGUACCCAAUCUGAGCAAAACCCCACAAGUCAUGCCUCCAAGGCUCUAUUAUUUCAGCAACUGGACAAGCACACCUUGUAACUGCAUUAACGAGGAGGCCCAGGGUGUUCUGUGAUCUUCCAACAGUAACCCCCUUUUUGUUUUCCCAGCCUUCAACAAAUGUGGUUUACACAGUUUUCCCAACCUCCCCCCACCCCCUGGUCCUUUUCAGGUUCAAUCUCUGUGUUAUUUACCUCUCCUCCUUCUUGCUGCUGCUUAAACUCACAGGAGUGUAAUUAAUUUGCUCUUUGUAGUUCUCCAAAGACUAUUUGGGCAGAAAUUAGCCAUGCUCUGUAACUAGAACCAGGGAUUGGACUGCAUUUGUUCAGCCGUCCCUUUCGGCUUGGAUGAUCUCUGUGUCCUGUGCCAGGAGCCAGCCAAGUUCAAGGUGGUGAAAGUGGGGGAAUCCCAAGGUUCAAGGCAAGGACACAGCCAAGUCAGGACACAUCCUAUCCCUUUAAGGCAGAAGCCACAGCCUGCCAGGUGCCCAAGGCCAGCUAGGGGUUGUUGUCAGGCUCCCAGGCAGAGCUGUACUUUUUUUUUUUUUUUAAUUGGUGUCUUAAUUUUUAUUUAUUUAUUGUUUUGGCCUCACUGUGAAGCGUGCAGGAUCUUGGUUCUCAACCAAGGAUCCAGCCCGGGUCCCCCUGCAUUGCGAUUGCAGAGUCUUACCCCCUGGGCUGCCAGGGAAGUCCCCUGAGUUGCACAUUCUUGCAAACUAUGGCCAGGGCAAUGCACUCUCAAGCAGACCCACCUCUGUCCUCCCAGCUGGGAUCUUAGUACCCAUUUCUGAUGUCUCCUGCAUUUUCUUCAAACCUCAAUAUCCUUGCGAGCUUGUACAAAACAUCCAAUAGCUCCACCCCCGUCACUACUCACAGGGCUCCUGUCUUUCAGGGCAGAUCAAACCAUUUCCUUUCCUCAAUGGUAGCAAAAACAAAACAAAACAAAAAACACCAACCAAGAAAUAAAAAUAUCUAGGUUUAGGGAAAUGAGAAUCAAAUGAAUCAUUCUGGAAAACACCAUAUAGCAACUGGAGAAGGUCUUCAGGUCAGCUUGGUUAAGAACUGCUCUAAUUCUCAGGCAUUAAUUUAGAGUUAAUAGAGGCAAUAAAAUGACUGCCAGGUCAGAAUGAGUUCUAGCCACAAGGCAGUGAAUUUUUUACCCACAGUGGGAAACUAGCCUGAAAAUAUGCCAUAAUCUUUAAGGUUGCUUUUUUUAAGGGUUUUUAUCAUUGUUGUUUUUAUUGUUUAAGCAUGAGAUUGUGCUAUUCCCACCAAAAAUCUCAUCCUUUCCUCCUUUCUCAUUCCUACUUCUACUUCUCCAGAAUAUUUAGCAAAUGGUUUCUUUUUUGUUUGUUUGUUUUCUGAAUAAUUCAGUUUAUCCCUUUAUAGGUCAAAAUAUU